UACGUAGGUGGCAAGCGUUGUCCGGAUUUACUGGGCGUAAAGAGCGCGCAGGCGGUCGUUCAAGUCGAGUGUGAAAGCCCCCGGCUCAACUGGGGAGGGUCACUCGAUACUGAUCGACUCGAAGGCAGGAGAGGGAAGUGGAAUUCCCGGUGUAGUGGUGAAAUGCGUAGAUAUCGGGAGGAACACCAGAGGCGAAGGCGGCUACCUGGACAAUUGCUGACGCUCAGGCACGAAAGCGUGGGGAGCAAAAGGG
rnacentral:rRNA from 1 species